CACUUUUAGUUGUCAUCGUUGUCAUUUUAAUUUUCCAUCAUUUGGAAAUUGAUGUAUUAAAUUUAUUUUUUAACUCAAGUACAAAACAUAGUUUUAGCAAUUGUCGAAAACAGUGCAGUCUUUAAGAUAUAGAUGUAUCGAAAAACAUGUAAAUGAACUUAAUUUAUUUAGCAGUUAUGUUGGCAAUCUACUGACCUUUUUCCCACUACCACUAAUCACCUAUAAAUAUGGCAAAUAUCGAAAUUAGACAUCUGCUUCAGAUAAAUAGGAUACCAGAAAGUGAUAUCACCUUAAUAUUGUUCAUACUCUACCUCCCCGUUGGAUUAGUAUUAAUACUAUUAAGAUCAUUUAUACUCUUGAGUCUCUUUCUCAUCACUCAGGUUUUACCAGACACACCAGUUUCUCAGAAACUCAUUAAUAGAAUAGCAUGUGUAGGAUUAGGAAUAUCAAUUCACGUCGAAAAUCCUAAAGUUAAGGACAAUGUCCAUAUGUACAUUAGCAAUAGUUUAUCUAUUUUCGACCAGAUAGCAGUUUGUAGUGCCUCUGGAGCUGUUUCGCCUAGCUGCAGAACGACUCUAGAAAAAGUAUUAGGGCUUAGUACUUAUUGCUUUGGAUCGAUCACAAAUCUGGAUAAUUUUAAGAAUAAUAUCAAACAAUUUAUGGUAGAAAAGAAAUCACCUUUGUACUUUGCCCCAGAAGAAAAACUCACCAACGGAAAGGCGCUUUUGAAGUUCAAAACAUAUCCAUUUGAGUUUGCCAAUAAGGUUCAACCUGUCUGCAUUAGAAUAGAGAGGCCAUUUUUGGACGUAGCUGUCACGACUGUAGGAUCAACAUUCGUUAGUGAUAUGUUAUAUUUUCUUUUUGUACCAAUAACUAAUUACAAACUCACUUUCUUGGCUCCCUUAGAAAAGAGAACAAUGUCUGACGAUGAAUUUGGAGAGAUAGUGCGGCAGAAUAUGGCUACAUCUUUAAAGAUACAAAUAACCGAUUAUACCUCACACGAUUUAGCAGAAUGGGAGAAAAGAACAUUGGCAGAUCCUCCACAAAGGCCGCAAACCCGGUUUGCUAACAGAACUAUGAAUCCUGAGCUGCAAAGGAUGGGUAAACAAGUGAAAGAAGUUUUGCCCCAUGUUCCACUUACCGCUAUUUAUAGUGAUCUAUAUGUAACUAGAAACGUAGACAUAACAAUAACAAACAUCCUAGAGGGACGCGUCGUCUUCACGCCCGAGCAACCUUCAGCAACUACCACUAGCCUACCUUCAACUUCGUCUAUUUCACCUAGUUCUAACGUAACAGGAGCUUCCACUUCCGGCGGCAGUAAAACGUCCUUCAACACUGCCGCCUCCUCGUUUCCCAGAUCUGCAUCCGAGCGCAGCAGGUCGUUCCAGGAACGCAAGGAACAGCUGAUCGCCACCGCAAGAAGGCGCUAUAUCGAAAAACACAACCUCGAUAUACCGAUUUAGAGUUCGAUCUGAGACUAACGCGACUGAAAUGUUGAUGAAUGUCAAUUUUAUUGAAGAUGUAGUUAAUUUUACAAUAUAUUUUUAUUUUUGAACAUCUACACUUUACGAAAAAAAAAAUUAAUUAAUGAAUAGCAUCUCUCUAAAGUGGCUUGUGAAGUAAUAAAGAUCGUUAAUCUCUAAUUGAAACCACAAAUUGUAAAAACAAAAUUUAUUUGAUUAGUCCAGUCGGGUUAGACGAAUAACAAGCCUAACCUUGCAUUAGGAGCUGCCCCAAAUUUUAUUUUUAUAAUCUUUAGGGGGGGGGGUCAAUAGUAGUGUAAAUUUAAAAUCCACCAUCUUGAUUUUAAAUGAGAACCGUUUUGGCUCAAUAUCUCCGUAAUUUUCAACUUUUCGACAAAAAGUAAGAGAACCAAAAUUGUUAAAAAUGUGAUUUUCUAUAAUUUAUAUUCCUACAAUUUUUCGUGCGGCCAAUAUUUUCCGAGUUAUGGCAGAAAAUAGUGGUAGUUAGAGCAUAAUUAUUGAAUUAUCUCGUUUAUUAUUAGUUUUACGGCAAAAAUGUACCUAUACAAAAAUGGAGAGAAUUAAGUUCUACACAAUUUUGAUUUCUUUAUUUUUUUUGCUAAAAUUAAUAUUUAAGGUAGUACGUAUGCGGUAAUCACGCGAGCUUAAGACUUGAUUGAUUUAUUAGCAAUUGUUUUUGUUCAAUAUCUACGCCAUUUUCAACUAAAAUUGUUUCCAAAUAUGAUUUCCUUCAAAUUAUUUUUAAAUUUUUUUUAUGCGGUUGAUAUUUUCCGAGUUAAUUGGGAAAAUAGUAAAAAGUGGUGGUGGGGGGGGGGCAUAAUUAUCGAAUUGAAUCUUGUUUCCGAGCUGCCCCAAAUUGUAUAAUUCUAUCCUUUAGGGGAGAUCAAUAUUAGUGUAAAUUUAAAAUCUCGACUGAAUUCCGCGCUUGAAUUAGCCGCCAUAUUUAUUUUAAAGGAGAACCGUUGUUGCUGAAUAUCUCCGCCAUUUUCAACUUCUCGACAAAAAGGGUAGGAACUUAAACUGUUGGAAAUGCAAUUUCCUACAAUUUCUGUUGCACAAUUUUUUUUAUGCGAUCAGUAUUUUCCGAGUUAAGGGGGAAAAUAGUGGAAGCGGAGGGAAAGUAUAAUUAUUUAAUUGUCUUAUUUAUUAUUAACUUUACGACAUAAUUAUUGUAUACAAACAAAAAUAAAGAGAAUUAUAUUUUAUACAAUUUUUGAAACUCCCAAUGAAACACCAACCAAAGUAAGUGCAUAAGAGACAUAACUUAUAUGCAUUAAUUUCACUUAAUCUUAUUAAUUAGCCGGUUUUAUGGGUUGCAGUUGUCUUUCGAUAUUUUAAGUUUCAUGUCAGUUUCAUAUGUAACAUAUUUUUAUAUUUCAACAAUUUUUUUUAAUUUUGGGCUUUUUUGGGAGAAAUUUACUCACUUCCCCCCCCCCCUCGUAGACCCGCCACUGGUUCUCUCGAAAAGUUGUAGUAAAUCGUAAUUGCAACAAUUUCAGUCCUUACACUUUUUGUCGAAAAGUUGAAAAUGGCGGAGAUAUUGAACAAAAACAAUUGCUAUAAAAUCAAUCAAGUCUUACGCUCUCACAUUUACCUCAUACGUAUUACCUUAAAUAUUGAUUUUAUCAAAAAGUGAAAGAGAUUAAAAUCGUACACAAUUUAAUUCUCUUCAUUUUUGUAUAGGUACUUAUUUGUUGUAAAACGAAUAAUAAACGAGAUAAUCCAAUAAUUCAAUAAUUAUGCUCAAACUGUCACUAUUUCCCCCCCAUAACUCGGAAAAGAUCGACCGCACGAAAAAAAUUAUAAUAAACGAAAUUAUAGAAAAUCGCAUUUUCAACAAUUUCAGUUUCCACACUUUUUGUCGAAAAGUUGAAAAUGGCGGAGAUAUUGAGUAAAAACGGUUGUCGUUUAAAAUCAAGAUGGCGGCGAACGCAACGGUGGAAUUCAGUCGAGAUUUUAAAUUUACACUACUAUUGACACCCACUAAAGAUUAGAGAAAUAAAAUUUGGGUCAGCUCGUAAUGCAAGGUCAAAUGCUAUCCCGACUGGGCUAGAAAUAUUCAGGAGGUGUUUUGGCAUUUGUCAUCUUCAGCUUUAUAAAUUAGAAGAAGCUACGUCUGAAAGUGAGCAAGUGCCUUUUCUAAACGUUUACUUAAGUUAUAUUUUAAGGCAAGGCAAGUAACAUAUGACUUAAGUAAACGAUUACAAAAGGCAAGUAACCUGCCAACAUUACUUGCUUUCUUACUGGCUUCGUGUACGAGUAUACCGGCCUUAAAGGCAAUACUUUGUGUGCUAUUUUUUAUUGUGAAUAUAUGAAACAAUUUUAAUAUACGUAAUAGAAAUUAUUAUUAAAUCGAGAGAUAUCCUUCUAUUGUGAUUAAUUAGUAUAUUAUUCAACGAGCAUGUAAUGAUGGCUAUUACUCACGAUGAUGAAGUUUGCGACACGAGCCGUAGGCGAGUGUAGUAAUUCAUCAGAGUGAGUAAUAGCCAUUACAUGCAAGUAGAAUACUAUACUUUGUCUACGACCUUUUUUAUUUGGAUUAGUAGAAAAAUAUAAUUAUCAACUACCUACUAACAUUAUUUAAAACGAAAUAUUUUAUUUUUCAUAAGAAAAUAUAUUUUAUAUAACUAUGGCAACACUGUUAGAAUUACACUCGUUGAGCUUAUGAAACAAUAAACAGUUGUCAUUAUGUCAUGGAAUGGCGGUGGCUUUUAAAAAUAAGACAUAUUUUAAGGCAAUUGCAUGAAAAAGAACGUGUGCUCUCAAUUAAAAUCUAUUGUACAAUGAACAGUAAGUAAAACAGAAUUCAUUGAUAUGAAUUUCAUAUCCGUAAGUCCUUUUACGAAAUUAAUACCGAUUGUUUAUUGUUUACCUUUUUAUAACGUCAAUCUUAAAAUGUCGAAUGUUGAAAUUUAAACGUAAAAAAUAUACUAACCCAUUGUUAAAGUUAAGAAUCCUUUAAACAUUUUUCAAAUUUAAUUGUUCAUAUAAAUUACAAUGAACAUUUUAUUAAAUAAACAAGUUUAAGUAAUUUUAUUUGGUAAUAGGUAUAUUAAAAGUGCCAUGCACCACUUGAAUCUAACUUCAACCCGUGAGUAAUGAUCCGCGAGUAACUUCAGCCCGUGAGUAAUGAAUUAUUACUCACGGGUAAAGUAAUGGGUGUUAUUAUCUAUUUAAAAAUAGCGAAUAAUGAGUAUAUUAUUAAACGGUCGUAGAAAAAGGUUUUUAUAUACUAAAACCCUAAUUUUAGCAGAAAUAACCUCAAAAAAUUGCCUACAACUUACCAUAUGAAUAGUAGUUGUAUUUAUGUUAUAUUCGUAAAAGAUAAAGAGGAAAAUGUAGGUACCUGUAAAUUUCCUAUAGUCACCUGUAGACCAUAAAUCACAAAAAAUAUUAAAAAUCCUGUAUAAAAGUUAUACAUAUUUAUAUUAAAAAGACCCAUUCGGGCUACAGCACAGAACGUUUUCAUGACAAUUCCAUCAUCAGUGAUGAUGACAAACCUAUCAACAGAAUUUAGCAGCCUAGAAGUCAGUAACAAGAAUAUGUCUACAUUAAUGAAUUACUAGAAAGUCAAAAACACAUCAUCUAUACAUACACAAUACAAAACAAAUCAGAAUUCGAUAUCGACCCCAAGGUUCAACUCGAAACUUGGCUAUCUACGUGCAAGAUCGAGGCCAGAUGAGUCGCCUGUCAAAUUUGGCCAAAAACAGCGACCACUAACUGCAAAAAUCGUAGAAACCUCUUUCUUUAAUUUAUGAUUUUUAAAAGGCCUUCUAAUUUGUAAACGGUUUCCGGAGUAAAAAUCGAAAGGUCAAAAACAAAUAUAAAAUCUGUUUUUUAUUACAAUCAAUUAUGGCUUAAUCCCAUAUAAAUGUAAUAUUUCUCUUAAUUUUUCCAGUAAUUUACAUAGAUUAUUUCAUUCAUAGAGAUUUUGACCAAUAGAAAGCUACAGAAAUAAAAAUUACAGCGAUAAUUUUUGAUAAUUUCCCGUCGUCAAGUAUUACGUCAGAUGCCCUUCAUUGCUACGCAUAAUUGAACAUUCAGUGACAUUAAUGACAAUUAAUGUUUUACAACUUAUCAAAGAGAACACCAGGAACAGGUUUAGCAAAUAUUCAGGCGAAGAUAUCAAUAAAAUAUUAGUUACAAUGGUUUAAAAACCAGUUUUAUUCAUGAAAUAAUCAAAUUACUCUCGAGCUCGAAUUAUCGAUUUGUUUUGCCCUCGUGACACUUUGACAUAAUUUCACUCCCCUUCGGGUCGUGAAAUUAAAACUGUCGAAAUGUCACUCGGGAUACAAAUCGAUAAUUUUAGAGAUCUUCUUGUAAUAAGUACUGAUAAUUUUAGCUACAUCUCCGAUAAUUGACAUUUUAUUCUAGAGUGACCGACCCAUUCUGCAGCGAGUUGAUUAACAAAUGUGUACAGCUUAUAACUAUAUAUUUUAUAUACGUAAAAUAGGGCUAUACAAGAAAUAAGGAAUCUGUGGAAUUACUUGAUGAUGAUUAGAAUAUUUUUGUUUUUUCUUUUUCAUUAAUUUUGUCUUAUUAUAAGAUUUUUCAUGAUAAAUGUCAUCUGUCAAUGACGUGCCGUCAGAAUAUUUAUUUUAAAGCUAUUUUUGAAACAUUCGAACUCCUACAGAAAGUUGGGAAGUUAAUGUAUAACAAUAAAACUCCAACUAUGGAAGCCGAUUGCUAAGACUUCGCCUAGCUCAGUCACUCAGGUGUCAGUUCAUCUUGCCUUAGUCGAAAAAAUGAACAAUGAGUCUUGAAGGGACAAAUAAAAUUUAAAAUUAACUAUAAUCAUAUUUAUUUAGCAUUAAAAACAAUCCUCCUCCUCCUAAGUGUCUUCUCUAUUGAGGUUGGCGAUCAAUAUGGCAAAUUCCUCUCUGUUCUGUGCUUGAUAUUUCGGAGCCAGGAUUUCUUCUUUCUUCCUAUACCCCUUUUAUCUUCGAUUUUGCAUUCUAAUAUUACCUGGAGUCGCUCAAAUUCCCUAUGGCGCAUUAUAUAGAUAUGGCGUCUUUCUACUUUUGAAUGUAUUGAAAUUUGAAUUUUGUGCAUUUUAAUGAAAUGAUAUUUAAAUAUAGUGCAGUCAUUGAAGCGUAAAAUAGGUUUUUACCUCCGAAAUUUUUUACUAUGAACCGAUUUACAUGAGAUUUUGGAAUUAGGUUUAUCCUACCCUUAACUUCAAAAGUGAUAUUGACCCGAACUCCGCUUUUUAUUUUUAAGGGGUGAAAACAACCCCUUAAUGGAAAAAUUGACAUUGAGCCAUUUUAUCGCCAGAAAACGUGUUUAAUAAUAAAGAGUGACGUUGUCAAGUGUUUUCUAACACAAUAACCUCAUGCUAAACUCAUUUUCAUCCCCUUGAAAAUCGUACAAUCCUUGCAAACAACCCCAAAAUGGAAAAAAUUUAAAAAAAAAUUAAUUUAGUAUGACAUAAAAAGAUUUAAAUAUAGAGUAAAAAUGAUAUUUUACGUUCUCUAUCUUAAUUAUCAUAUUGUUAACCCCCUUUCAGCCCUUAAAAACAACCACUAAAUAGAAAAAAAUUACAAAAAAUUAAUUUGGUUUAAUAAGAAGACUUAAAUAUAGAGUAAAUAAUAUUUUACGUUCUCUAUCUUAAUUAUUUAAUUGUUAACCCCUUUCAACCCUUAAAAUCAACGCCUCGAUUAAAAAUUGUAUAAAAAAUUUCUUUUGAUAAACUAAAUAGGAUUUAAAUAUCGUUCCACGUUCUCGAAAAAGCUAUGCUGGAAAAUCAUAUGCUCAAGUUCUUUAACCCUUAAAACUACCCCUAAAUUAAAACAUUGGAUAUGUAUGAUUUAGUUUUUGGGCCAUAACUACUUCAAUUUUGAAGCUAGCACAACUUAUAAAAAACCAUUUUGAAAGUAAUUAAAAGAGCAACAAUUUUUUCUUUAUAAUAUGUAGUGAAAAACCUUUUAUUUUGAAACGGUGAAGGGUUAAAGGGCUCGAGGGAGAGACUGUGGUUGCGCUACCGCGCGCUCUUCAAUCAAUCAUAUCUUCGUCAAUUUUUGUGUGAGAGAAAAAACAAACCAAAAUUUUUUUGGAAAAACCUAUUUUUUUUAUUAUUACACUGUUUUACGUAUCUUUCAUUAUUUUUUAGAUAUUAUGAAAAGAAGGUUGUUUUUUUUUUAAUUCGAAAUUUUUUUUUCUUAAAAUCGUGAUAUUUUCAAAAAAUAUGUUUUCCAAAGCAGCAAAACUGCUAUAAUCCAUCAAAAUCUUUAUAUUAAAGUUGAUUCUAGACGGAAUACCAUUAAUUUUAAUUUUGGUGGAAAUGGCACUUAUGAAAUCCAUUGAUUUAAAAAAAACCAUUAGAUGUUCCUCUUUUUUUCAUUACAGCUCACUCAUUUUACGUACAAAAGACUUUUAACAGUGCUCAUUUUAAAGCUUAUUUUAGGCACUAUAAAAUCCUUUCUCAUUAGCAUGCAUAAAAUUUAUUCGCUUUGACGCUAGAUGGCAUUGAAUACAUCGAUUAAAUUUCACACAAUAUAAAAAACGGCUUUGAUCUUCAAUAUCUCGCUUAAUAUUACACUUAGAACACUCUUUAAAAAAAGAAUUUGUUCAUUUUUUUACCUGCUACAAUUUUGUUCAGUAUAAUAUUAUCGUUAAAAUGCAUAUUUUUGGAGAUAUGUAUUUGCAAAAAACUGUGAAAAUCGUGAGAAAAUUCCGAAUUUUCAAUUGCCAAUAACUUGAAAAGUAUUGGGUUUUUGAAAAAACUUUGUAAAACAUUUGUUGCUUAAAAUUAGGUCUUCUACAUAUCUAUCUGAGGUUAUUUUGAAAAAAAAAUUCCAUCACCGAAAAGGGGUGGCAACCACCCCCAGGGUGAAAACGGAGUUCGGGUCAAUAUCACUUUUGAAGUUAAGGGUAGGAUAAGCCUAAUUCCAAAAUUACAUGUAAAUCGGUUCGUAGUAAAAAAUUUCUGAGCUAAAAAGCUUCAAUGACUGCACUACUACAGGGUGUUUCAUUAAUAAUUGUCCAUAUAGUAACUGGAGAAACCUUAGCACAAAAUACGAAGAUUUAACCUAAAACACUUAAAUAAUAUGUGGUUCCUUACUGAGUUACAGGGUGUUUUAUCUAAAAAUUUAAAAACUAUUUUUGCUCAGCAUUUUAAAACUAUUCGACGUAUCCUUUUCAUACUUGGCAGAAAGUAUAGGUACUGUACAAACUACUAAAUUACGUUAAACAAACGUUUCUGGCUAUUACCAGAGGCGUACGACGGGGGAAAGUGAAUGGUUAACCCUUUCCAAAUUCUACGCCACUGGCGGAAUUGCUAUUUUAGUUCAAUUUUUGGAUUCUCCAAUACUUUCUAUGAAAAUAAUAUACUCUUCAUUCGUAACGAUAAAGUCAUUAGUAUUCAAGAUAUUUGAAGUUAAAAAUGAAACGACACGGUUAUUUUGAUUAAUGUAUUGUGUCGCUUCAUUUUUAAUUUCAAAUAUCUCGAAAACUAAUCAUUUUAUCGUUACGAAUGAACAGUAUAUUAACAUAAAAAGUAUUGGAAAAUCAAAAAAUUACACUAAAAUAGCAAUUUCGUCAGUUGCGUAGAAUUUGGGAAGGGUCAACCAGCCACUAUCCCCUGUCGUACGCCUCUGGUAGUAGCUAGAAACGUUUAUUUAUCUUAAUUUAGUAAGGUGUACAGUGCCUACACUUUCUGCCAAGUAUGAUAAGGAUACGCCAAAUAGUUUUAAAGUACUGGGUACAAAUAAUUUUUUAAUUUUAAUCAUAUGAAUCAUAUCAUAAAUUAAUCAAAAUAACUGUGCCGUUUCAUAUUUAACUUUAAAUAUCUCGAAAACUAAUGAAUUUAUCGUUACCAAUGAGGAGUAUAUGAUUUAGGUAGAAAGUAUUGGAGAAUCUAAAAAUGGCACUAAAAUAGUAAUUCGUCCAGUGGCGUAGAAUUUGAGAAUGGUCAACCAUUCACUAUCCCCUGUCGUACGCCUCUGGUAGUAGCUAGAAACGUUUGUUUAUCAUAAUUUAGUAGCUUGUACAGUACUAUCUAUACUUCCUGCCAAGUAUGAAAACGAUACGUCGAAUAGUUUUAAAAUGCUGAGCAAAAAUAGUUUUUAAAUUUUUAGGUAACUCAGUAAGGAACCACAUUUUAUUUAGAUGUUUUAGGUCAAAUCUUCGUAUUUUGUGCUAAGGUUUCUCCAGUUACUAUAUGUACAAUUAUUAAUGAAACACCCUGUAUACAAGCAAAUCUUGCCUAUAGUUUUACAAUAAAAUGGUACUUGGAUUAUUUUGCUUGCUGUGCAGGAUGUAGUUGGACGUUGUUGGCUCCAGAUGAUGUGGGUAGGUCUUAGAUGUUUGCCAUUUUGUCUUCAAGAAGCUGCAUGGUCUCGAAGACAGCUGCCGCCUUAAUUUGGUUCAUUCUACGUGGUGGUUACCCAUCGUCGACGAUAUAGAAAGAAGAAAGGAUAGAAGAUAAUUAUUAAAAAUAUAAAGAUAGAUUAUUGAAGAUGAAAGAGGGAGAAGGCCAACUAUUUUUUGAAGAAAAAAAUAGCAAAACAAAACACAAAAUUAAGAAAUUAAUAUAUUCAAUAGAAAUUGGAACAAAAUAUAUAUUUGUAGCUCAACAGGCCUUAUAGGCCCACGGCUUGGAAUUUCUCCACGGUUUUCCUCAAUUUUCUCCUGUCCAUGGCCGCAGUUCUCCAAUUUGUUAUCCCGAUUAUUUCCAGGUCUUCCUUAGACGCUUCUAGCCACUUUUUUCUUGGUGGUCCUCUUCUCGUCUUUCCUUCCCCUCUUAUCAGCGAGUCCUUUGCCCACCUUCCGUCAGCCAUUCUCGCAAGAUGACCUAACCAACUAAGUCUCUUUGUUCAGACGAUCUGACUUAUUUCUGGUUUCCGGUACAGCUCUCUAAUCUCCGCAUUUGUUCGUCUCCUCCAAACGUCUUCAUUGUCUUUUACUCCCCCGAAUAUCUUCCUUAGGACACUCCGCUUCCAGAUAUUCAACAUCUUUUCUUAAUUUUUGUUCAUGGCCCAUGUUUCGCUUCCGUAAAUAACUGUGGGCUGGAUCACUGUUCGGUAUAGUCCAAUGAAUUGUCAACACGGAUGGAAUGGGCAAGAAGUGAAUUUAAUGCGGCCAGGAUGAGAGAGUCUAGUCAGGGAAGGAUAGAAGAUAAUCGCCAUCUUUCGUAAAAAAAAAUUGAUAGUGGUAGUCAGUGUUGCCAGCUUGGGGUAUUUUCCCACAAUUUUGGAAUAAUUUGAAAGCGUCUAGAAGAAUUUUUCUAAGCAGAAAUGGUUGUGGGGGACAAUUAUGAGAGAUUUUUAAGGGGUCGUGGUAAAUUAAAUUUGCGUAUAUACAUAGAACUGUAUUUUAUACUCUCAUAUAAUCGAAGACGAUAAGACAUAUGAAUUAUUUUCAGGGCCUUCUGUUGAUAAGUAGUAUAAUUUUGGUUUACUGUUCUCUACAUUUGACUACUAAUUUUUUAAAAUGUUGCAAAAAUUUAAAUUUAAGGGGUUUGAGCUUCAAUUUGAAGGAAUUUCAGUUUCUUAGUGGGGGAUUUAUAAAAUCACAUCUGGCAACUCUGGUGGAAUGUUGUAGAAAAUUUUCCCUGCUCUGUCUCUCUCUAGGACCUCUCACUUGUAUGUUAGCCGCAAUCCGGCUUCACUGUUUGAAUGGAACGGGGUCAUUCCAUCCGUGUUGACAGUUCAUUGGUGUAGUCUCAAUUUUGCCUCUCUGGAAAUAUUUUUUGCUCUUAGUAGUUUGUGUAGGGCUCCGACAAUCUUCCUUCCUCUCGAAAUUAUCUUCUCAAUUUCUUGGCUUUCUUCCUCUUUACUUGUUAAGAGUUACACCUAGAUACUCAAACUCCGUCACCUUUUUGAAGCAAUACUCUUUACUCUCGUUGUCUAUGGUGUUUCUUCAUAUGCGGUCUUUCUCAUUUCCACAUACUUUGUUUUUUGCUCAUUAAUCCUCAGUGCAUACUGCUUAGCCUUUACUUCAAAGAGUCUUAAAAUCAAGUAAAAUUUAAUAAAAAUUUUUUUGGCUUGGUAAAAGGUAUAUUAGUUUAAAAAGCCCCUAUAGGCUACAAACAGAAACAAAACGUUUUCGCUCUGUAACAAGAGCAUCAUCAGUGUUACAAGAACAUGGUGAGCCAACCAAAAAAUACAAAGGUCAAAGCCUUUCAAAGACAGACUAAAAGUCUUAUAUAGGUGCCAACAUGGCAAAAUCCAAAGGAUGGUUAAAAUUCCUAUCGCUAAGGCCCUAGGGCAACACAUGACUCCCACACUUGGUUGCCUGUCACCUCUUGUAACAUAAUGACCUACUUGUUACCUAUUGAGCCACUUACCACGUGUGGGAGUCAUAUGUUGCCCUAGGGCCUUAGCCAUAGGAAUUUUAACCAUCCUUUGGAUUUUGUCAUGUUGGCAUCUAUAUAAGACUUUUAGUCUGUCUUUGAAAGGCUUUGACCUUUGUAUUUUUUGGUUGGCUCACCAUGUUCUUGUAACACUGAUGAUGCUCUUGUUACAGAGCGAACACGUUUUGUUUCUGUUUGUAGCCCUAUAGCGGUUUUUAAACUAAUAUACCUUUUACCAAACCAAAAAUUUUUUAUUAAAUUUUACUUGUAAUUAAUGGUAUACAGCCAGCUACAGGAAAUUCUUCCUUGUGGAGUUUUAAAAUCCUCAGCAGUUCCCUCUCAGUUCUUGCCAUUAGCACUACAUCGUCCGCAAAGGCCAGAACCUGGCUUCUGUUGUCAUCGAUCAUACCUUUCGUUCGUAUUCCACUCUCUCUUAAUAUUGUCUUCAACAAGAAAUUGAAGAGUACUGUGGACAGCGGAUCUCCCUGCGUUAAUCCCCUUUUAACUUCAAAUUUUCAUGUUGGGCUUCCUUCUAUCCUUACUCUAUUAUCGGUCUUCAUUAGGGUCAUUUUUACUAGUCUCAUUAUUAUUUAUAUUUAAUUUUGAACUGAAAUUUUCAAGUGAAAUAUCUUAAGAUAAUGUUUAAUAUAUUUCUUCUGUUGGUAACAGUGAAAGUGGUAUCCGAAAAUUGCAUGGAAAUAGCUGAUGUAAACAGAUAGCUAGGCAAGGGCGAUUUUAUGCAAAAAGGAUUUAAUAGCAUAAGACUUGUAUGGCCUAGAUGUAGAGCUACUUUUAGACUGCUCACGAGAAUUUGUAACUCCAUAGAAAUUCGUAAUAUGAAAAUUGAGAGAUGGCAUUUAUUUCUGUGAUUUAAUUUUGAUCGUUAGCACCAAAGUUUUGGGAAGGAAAUCAAAAGGGCUAGUUUUGUACAAACAAUAAUUUUAAUAUACUUUAUUAUGAAUUUCUAAUUUGUAUUUCGUCGUACUUAUUUGGGUGUUGUGUUUUUAAUUUUCGAGAUAAUUUUGUUCGGAACAAACUUUUUAUAUUCGGUUUUUACAAAUAAAUAAGGAUUGUGAUACGAAAUAGUCAAUGUCGUUAUUUUUAACCGUAUAAAUUUCGAAAGAGCUGAAACAUUUGAUCAAGGACUGUAGAAGAGUCUUAGAAUAAGGGGGAAGAAUGGUGCCAAUAACGAAUAAAUUUUGCCUUAAGCUGCACAUUUUCGGACUCUUAAAUUAAUAUAUCUUAAGUUUGUAUAUACUUCACUGUUAUUUAUUUUAUAAAUAAAAUAAGGUCUAUUUCAA
rnacentral:misc_RNA from 1 species